CUGUAUAAAACAAGUGAGAGAUGGCUCUUCUGUAAUUUCAGUGCUACACAUAGAUUUCACCACGAUGGAUCUGGUAACGUUUGAGAAGGAGAACUGUGAGCGUAUCCAAGCCGUUGAGACUUCAUUCGGACCGGCAGGGAGGCCUCUAUCCCAGCCAGGGAGAGUUCUGGUGGGUCAGGGUCAUAAAGCAAGGACGUACUAGGAAGCCAGAGCCUAAAGUUUUCUUUCUGUUCAACGACAUGCUGGUGUACGGCAGCAUCAUCCUGAACGGCCGCUGGCACAAAAAACAGAAAGUCAUCCCUCUAGGAGGGGGGAGGGGUUCUACCAUCUUUUCUUCCCGCAUCGGAGGAGUAAGCUGGUUCUGUCCCGAGAACAUCUCUACAAGGUAAUUGGUGUGGAGAAGAUUGACCUCAGCCUUGCUUUGAACAUUCUUCCAAAGGCUCUGUAGUAAAUGUGCUACACAUAGAUUUCACCACGAUGGAUCUGGUAACGUUUGAGAAGGAGAACUGUGAGCGUAUCCAAGCCGUUGAGACUUCAUUCGGACCGGCAGGGAGGCCUCUAUCCCAGCCAGGGAGAGUUCUGGUGGGUCAGGGUCAUAAAGCAAGGACGUACUAGGAAGCCAGAGCCUAAAGUUUUCUUUCUGUUCAACGACAUGCUGGUGUACGGCAGCAUCAUCCUGAACGGCCGCUGGCACAAAAAACAGAAAGUCAUCCCUCUAGGUAAGCAGAACCCUAGAUCUAUCCGACAGAUUCAAAAGAUUCGAUUCAAAGGUUUUAUUGUCAUAUGAACAGUGUAGAAAUGGCUAUGAAAUUCUUCUGACCUGAGCUCCUCCAACAAUGCAACAUGUAUAAUAAAAUACAAAAAUACAAAAUAAAAAGUAGUGCAUUUAGUCUAUAUCUAGAUAACGAUGAUAUGAUGGAAUGUAUACCUCCGUAGAAGCUUUAGUGAUGAAGUGUUUGUUUUUGUUUUGCCUUGUUGUAACUUUAUAUUCACGUGCAAAAGAUAUCUACAACAGCAAAACAAUGGAGGUGCAUGGCAUUUAAAGUACACUGAAAAAAAGGGGAAAGUGGGGUUGUUCAAUUUGCAAAUAUGCAGUUAAUAUAUGAGACAUAAUUUAUUCAUGUUUCUCGUCGAAACAUGAAUCAAUCAUGUAGAACUAUUUUAAUCUUGAGGGCUGUACGUUCUAUAAGUCUCAAUCAUGUUAAGAAAUAAGAAAAAAGUUAUGUUUAUCUCUGUAACUCCGCCCACUGAGCACAUACGUCAGCAGCUUGCUCUGCAGCCGAUUACUCAGCUUCUAAUUAUUAUUUACAAAUAUUUUAUUCACAAAUUAACAUGGUCGGACUCAAACCCGUACUUUAAUAGUUUCGUAAUUGAACCUGAACAAUAUGGCACUUUAAUGGACAAGAUGUAAAGCAGAAAAAAAUUGCAAAAUAUAUUUAUUUUUUAAAAUGUGAAGCUUUUUAUUUUUUAAACAAAGGAGGGGGGAGGGGUUCUACCAUCUUUUCUUCCCGCAUCGGAGGAGUAAGCUGGUUCUGUCCCGAGAACAUCUCUACAAGGUAAUUGGUGUGGAGAAGAUUGACCUCAGCCUUGCUUUGAACAUUCUUCCAAAGGCUCUGUAGUAAAUGUGCUACACAUAGAUUUCACCACGAUGGAUCUGGUAACGUUUGAGAAGGAGAACUGUGAGCGUAUCCAAGCCGUUGAGACUUCAUUCGGACCGGCAGGGAGGCCUCUAUCCCAGCCAGGGAGAGUUCUGGUGGGUCAGGGUCAUAAAGCAAGGACGUACUAGGAAGCCAGAGCCUAAAGUUUUCUUUCUGUUCAACGACAUGCUGGUGU